rnacentral:lncRNA from 1 species
GGUACUAAUGUUUCUCAUUUGAAAAAGACUUAUUGCUCUUCAGGGAUAAAAUUAUAAUUUUAUCAAAAUCCUGAUUUGAAAGUAUCAAAUGAUAGAACAAAAGAUUUGUGAUCCACUGGUAAAAAUUUUAUUGAUUUUGGACUUGUAUUUUGAAAGAUAUGCAUGUUUGAAAAUCAUGAGUCGACCCAUGAGUCGACUCAUGGCACAUGAGAUGACUGGCACGCUGAAAUUUCUGACCGGCACAGACUUGGCACACCCUGUGAGUCGACCC